rnacentral:rRNA from 1 species
UACGUAGGGUGCAAGCGUUGUCCGGAAUUAUUGGGCGUAAAGAGCUCGUAGGCGGUUUGUCGCGUCUGCUGUGAAAACUCGGGGCUUAACUCCGGGCCUGCAGUGGGUACGGGCAGACUAGAGUGCGGUAGGGGAGACUGGAAUUCCUGGUGUAGCGGUGAAAUGCGCAGAUAUCGGGAGGAACACCAAUGGCGAAGGCAGCUCGCUGGGACGGUACUGACGCUGAGGCGCGAAAGCGUGGGGAGCAAACAGG